UGUCGCAGCUGUGGUGUGUAAGUGUAUGACAACAGCUGUUGUAUAUAAAAUCUAUUUUUCUCAGCUAAAUAUUUAUUUGUGGAAUAUAAUAUAGCUUAUAGUAUCACAUAUUAGGCUAACAUGAGUUCUGAUGAAAAGUCACCAACUACUAUCUUACCGAUUUAUCACACCGAUAUUCAACUUGUUAAAAGUCAGAAUGCAAUCAAAAGGCUAAAACGAAACUUUCAGAUUCUUCAACUGUUUCUGCUAUUUACGGUUGUUCUUCUGAUGUUGAAUACAUUAGUUUCGUAUUUAAGAUUCGAAGAUCUUGCUUCGGAGAUGACCAGGAUCUCUAAAUACCAGAGGAAUUCCGAAUACGAAUUACGCCCAGAAGUGAUACCAACUGAACAACCAUUACAAGUUUUAUCCCCGGAAAAUGGUAACACUAAAGUAAUGGAUCUUGGAUACCUAUUGUUUGGUAGAAUGCUUAAUAAAUUGGGGAGCUCAACUCAUCGCGACUCCCAGCCAGAUGAAGAGAAUUCAAUAGUAAUAUUUUCAUAUUAGCUAUAUAUAAUAUGCAGAAUAAGUGGGGGAAAACAACAUGGUUGCACAUAUUAGGAUUUAGAUCAUAUAGCUGUUGGUAAUUCUGUCUGUUUAGGAUAAUGGAGCAUAUCCUUUCUUUGUCGUUGCUUGCAUGUAAAUAAUUAGCGUUUGCAUUCUUGAAGUAUUUCAAUAUUGUGUUUUAGGGAUUCUUGUUUUAAACAAAAUUAUACAUUUUUGGCUUUUAUGAGGCCGCAAUCUUGGGGUUUGCUUAUAUAGAUGGAUAUUCCGAUGGACAAAAGAGUCCCCACUACAAAAAAGUCCUGUGAAUAUGUGAACUUUUAAAUAAGAAUACCAGACACGGAUUUGUCAAAUGUUUGUCUUGUCCACGUGUUUCUAAUUAUUAUGUGUAUAUUUCUGUCCUCCUGUACAUACUAUUAGAGCGACUGGUAUCCAACUGUAGGCCUAACAACCGGUCUGCACACAUAGAAUUAGCUACUUUGAAAAUAGACCUCUGUCCUGAAUGGCCGCCAUAUUGAAAAACAAGAGUAGGUCCUGUAAUAUUAUGCGGCUCUAAUAUGUUUUACAUCUUUCAUAUACAUAAGGACAAAAUAAACAUUUUCAAUUAAAAAUUAAAAAUGAAAGCGGAAUAAAUGUCGGCCAAUUAGCAUUGUGUCUGUUCUUAAGGGGUGCUGUAGACGAACAGCGUAAGUUUCGUAUGCUAUUAUUAGUAACCAGUAAACGGCGCGAAGAAACACCUUUUCAAUAAGUUUACAUGAUUGGGUCGAUUUAUUAUGAAGACAAAAGGUUUGUUGAUGUGGAUUGCCACUGACAAGGGGUAUAUCCGAAUACAUGCAAUCAAUGAUAAUACCUAAUGGUUAUGGGAUUGGUAUGAAGCAAAUAUCAACUAUUUGAUGAAUAUAUUUGUACUAUAGUUUUAUUUACCUAUGCUGAUCUAAUCAUGUAAAUACUGUACGGCAGUGAAUAUUCGCUAGGCCGCGACAAUCACUGAUAAGGAUGACAUCGAUGUGACUUAAUGAGCCAAA